GGGGGUGCGUGGUGGCAGGCAGCGCGUGUCGGGAGAGGGUGGGAGAAGUCCCGCAACAGGCGCAACCCGCUUCUUUAGUUGCAAUCAUUAAGUUGUGCGCUCGGGGUAGACUGCCAGGGAUAACCUGGCGGAAGGUGGGGAUGACGUCAAAUCAUCAUGCCCCUUAUGCUUAGGGCUACACACGUGCUACAAGGGGUAGUACAGAGGGUUGCCAAGCCGUAAGGCGGAGCUAAUCCCUUAAAGCUACUCUCAGUUCGGAUUGUAGGCUGAAACUCGCCUACAUGAAGCUGGAGUUACUAGUAAUCGCAGAGCAGAAUGCUGCGGUGAAUGCGUUCCCGGGUCUUGUACCCACCGCCCGUCACACCCCGGGAGUUGGCGACGCCCGAAGCCGAUUAUCACACCUUUUGGAAGAUGCGGUCGCAGUUGGAAUCAAUCACAGGUGGGAAGCCUGACCACGGGACCCGGCCCGGAAGG
rnacentral:rRNA from 1 species